UGAAGUCAAGCCAUCAUCAUUAUUAUUGGUUGUAGCAGUAGUAGUUUUGUGUUAUACCUUAGUUACUGGACUGUUCUUAUCUCAACCAGUGGGAACUAUUUGCUUUUGAUUCUCCUCCCCAUCCCUCUGGGAGCAGGGGGAGGAAGAAGUGGGGAGAGUGAGUGAGCAGCUACGUGGUUUUGAGACUGUUUUGGCUGGACUUAAACCACGACACCAUGAUAUGGCUCAGAGUAUUUUCUGAAAAAGUCCUGCAGUGCAGAGGAGUCAAACAUUUGAUCACAUGCAGCAGCACAAGAUAGAUGGAGUACAGCUGACUCAACAGCUACAGGGGAUUUGGAAUGGAAACAAUCACUUGCUUGAAGGAAACAAUGUUAUCCAACUUGUGGUGUCAGUCAGCCUAUUCCCACAGUCACUGCAUUGAUGGAGGAAAAUUUUGGUCUCUUGAUGUCAAAGUUUUCUAAUGUAGUCUGAAGAGUGUGAAUGAAACAAGACUUUUUCCAAAAUUCUUCAAUUAUGGUCCAAAGUUUUGACCAUAAAGCACUUCUUUCAAACAUGCUUUCCUUUCAAGUCUGCUCUCACUGACAUUCUCCAUAUCUGUAUGAAUGUCCUGUGGGAAACAGCGGUUAGCACAUGCAGG
rnacentral:lncRNA from 1 species